UACGUAGGGUGCGAGCGUUAAUCGGAAUUACUGGGCGUAAAGGGUGCGCAGGCGGCCGAGUGUGUGAGGCGUGAAAGCCCGGGGCUUAACCCCGGAAUUGCACCUCAAACUACACGGCUAGAGCAUUGGAGAGGGUAGCAGAAUUCACGGUGUAGCAGUGAAAUGCGUAGAUAUCGUGAGGAAUACCAGAGGCGAAGGCGGCUACCUGGACAAUUGCUGACGCUCAGGCACGAAAGCGUGGGGAGCAAAAGGG
rnacentral:rRNA from 1 species